rnacentral:tRNA from 1 species
GGGGUUGUAGCUCAAAGAUAGAGCACUUGCCUUGCACACAUGAGGUCCUGGUUCGAUCCUCAGCACCA